ACUUUAUAAAGUAUUUUAAAAGCCCAAUCAUAUAUCUACAACACAGCAGAUUUGGGGUCUACAAAAACCCGAAGUUUUAUGGAAAUAACAGCUCACUGGAAAUUAUGGAUAAAAUUAUUCUCCAGGACUUUAAAAAGGAAGAUUGUUCUAUCGAGGACUACGUUGAUUAUAUCAAAUAUAUACUAAAUGUGAAAAAUAUUCCUCAAACUGACGCCACUUUAAAAAAAAUAUUUAUAGCUUAUGGAGGAAUAAACAUUAUAACUGAUAUCAAAAAUUACUCUAUCCUAGGAAUAUAGAGGAGGUAGGAUGGAUUGACAUAUAUAAAAUAGCAAAACAACUAUAUAAAGAUAAAGAACUAUUUUGGCAUCAAGAAUUGAUUUCAUUAGAUUAAGUCGCGGGGCUACUGAAUCCGUAAUGAGCUAUUUAAAAUAUAUAAAGGAGCUAGCCCGAAGAUGCUAAUUUGAAGACAAUGUAGAACUGAGAAUUCGAGAUCAAUUAAUCGCUGGACUAAAGAUGUCAUAACUGGAUAAAGAACUACGAUUAAGAUAUCCAGAUACUAAAGACGAAGACCAACCGUUAAGCUUAAACAAAGUGGUAGAAUUGGCUUUAGCGAUGGAACGAGCCUAACUUAGAAAUAAAUAAUACUGCUAAAAUGGUAUAUCAAAUCAAAGAGCCGAAUAAACAUGAUAAUAAUAAUCGGGUAAAUCAACAUGAUAAAAAUAAUCGGCAGUAUAAUAAUAAUGAUAAUGAUAAACGGCACUAUCAAAAGGAUAAUAAAGCGUAUGUAAAAAGUGAAAGUGCCCUGGUAUAAUAAAUACCGUACAAAUAAUAAUAGUAAUUGGAGAAAACCAUGCUAUUUCUGUAAUCGGUUUCAUGCUAUUAGAAAUUCUCCCGCCUACGGAAAAUUGUUCAGCAAAUGUAGGAAACCAAACCACUUCGCUCUAUGUUGUAAAUCUAAAAAAAAGAUUUACGGAACAAAUUACAAUAAAAAAGAAGAUGAUUUGAAUGUCUCAAUAAGAAAAUACAAAUAUGGGCAACAUUCAACAAUUGAGAACCGAUUGUUUUGAUUACAAAAAAUGACGACGAUGUAAAUAAUAAAGUCGCGCGGUUUUUCGGUCUUCGGUCAAGUUUAAUAAUAUAUAGAAUUAUAAAUAUUUUUUUGUUUAUAAAAAAAAUAUUAGAUCUGUUUAGA